AGAGAUGGGUUUCUGGACUCGCGAAGCAGCUGCAACAAGGCAUCACUCACUGUAUAAGUAUUUCCAUUUCUGAGAGCAAAAGGAAGAACUUAAGCGGGCGGCACUUGGAGUGUAAAUUGCUUUGUAGUAUUUAAAGGCAGAAUGGAUCCUGGGCAGCCGAGCUGAUCAUGAGGUUCCUGAGGCCUCCUAGCCAUGCUUCCUGUGCAGCCUAUGGAACUGAUCACUGUUGUAUUUUUAAACCUUAUUCCUGGAAGCACUACGGAUAUCAGAUCAAUUUAGAAAGCCAAAGAGUACCUCUGGGAAUGAAAUGGUAGUAAUAGAAACAAUAUUUGGCCAAACUAUCGCUGUAUGCCAAUGAUGCCAAAAAUCACAGUAACCUGGCAGCAACAAACCGGCAGGACUUCCUGUGAAAUCAUGACCACCAUGUGCUCUUUCAGCCUCUAUCAGUUCCUACCUCUAAGCACCUGAGAGCCAAAGCAAACCACAGGAAACCACAGGUACUAACUCUUUUAGACCUGAUGAAGUGUCUCCCAAAUACAGUCUGGCAUGGCCUUUGGAGUCAGACUGGAACUACAGCAUUGACUCUUCCGGAACUCCAGCUUACUGACUACAGAUCUUGGAACUUUUCAGCUUCCACAACCAUGUAAGCCAAUUCCUUUCUAAUAAAUAAGUCUCUCUCUG
rnacentral:lncRNA from 1 species